AGUGAACGCUGGCGGUAGGCCUAACACAUGCAAGUCGAACGGCAGCACAGUAAGAGCUUGCUCUUACGGGUGGCGAGUGGCGGACGGGUGAGGAAUACAUCGGAAUCUACUUUUUCGUGGGGGAUAACGUAGGGAAACUUACGCUAAUACCGCAUACGACCUACGGGUGAAAGCAGGGGAUCUUCGGACCUUGCGCGAUUGAAUGAGCCGAUGUCGGAUUAGCUAGUUGGCGGGGUAAAGGCCCACCAAGGCGACGAUCCGUAGCUGGUCUGAGAGGAUGAUCAGCCACACUGGAACUGAGACACGGACCAGACUCCUACGGGAGGCAGCAGUGGAGAAUAUUGGACAAUGGGCGCAAGCCUGAUCCAGCCAUACCGCGUGGGUGAAGAAGGCCUUCGGGUUGUAAAGCCCUUUUGUUGGGAAAGAAAAGCAGCAGGUUAAUACCCCGCUGUUCUGACGGUACCCAAAGAAUAAGCACCGGCUAACUUCGUG
rnacentral:rRNA from 1 species